AUGUUCAUCGAUGAGCUCACCCAAAGAGCGGAAGCACAAAAGAAGAGGAAGAGCAUUCACACGGGUUCAUAUACACAAGAUGAGGACAAGUUGAUUUGCCAAGCUUGGAUGGAGAUUAGCCAAGAUCCGAGGACCGACGCACAACAAAAGGGCAUUGUUUUUUGGACGAGAGUCCACAAAACAUUCCAUGAAAGGAAGAUGUUUGAGCCCUACCAAAUUACAAGCAACCGUGGCAUCGGCUCGAUUCAAAAGAGGUGGUUGUUCAUCCAAUAA
rnacentral:rRNA from 1 species